CCCUUCCGUGUUUUUUAACCAGGUGAAGGUGUAUUAUCUAAUACACUACUUUUUCCUUGUAUAACGUAAUAUGACUCGCAGCUUCUCCUCUCCCAUCGCCUCUCCCAUCUCUGUUCUCUGGAAAAAAGAAAAACUAGGCCUGAUUUGUCUUCUUCCAACCUCUACACAUUGCAAGUAAGUCUUCUCAUGGCCGAUUGGGUGCUUGCUUCUUUGCUUGCUGAUCUGUGUAUUUUUUAUUCUUUGCUUGCUCAUCCGUGAGAGUGUGUGUGUGUGUGUGUGUGCGUGGAGAGAGAGAGAGAGAGAGAGAAAGAUGGGGACCGACCCAAAAUCUGCCAUAGUUGACCCAAUAUGAACCCUCUCUUCCAGAUCCUCGGCUUUGUUACCCAAACCCAUAAAAUUUGCUUGCCAAUCUGUGAGAGUGUAACAUAUAUAGUUGACCCACCUAAAUUUGCUUACUGAUCCAAGCCUUUGUCAUGGUAGAAAGCUAACCACCUAAAUUUGCUUCCUGAUCCAAGCCUCUGUGAUGGUACAAAGCUAAUGGUCUUCAGUUUGAAUCUCUUCCUGUGUUCUUUUAAAUCUAUUGAAGCUCGUAACAUAGAGAGGGUGUGAAUUUCGAAUUGAUUUUUUCGUUUCCUUUUUUUUUUUCCCCCAUUUCUGGAGAUUUCUCUGCAACCAAACAGAGAACGGUUGUGGAAAAUUUUGUAAUAUAAGUUGCUUGUACAAUAAUUUUGUUUAAUUAUUUUUUUUAUGAUAAGAUGGCUUUGUUGUGAUGUGAAUUGGCCUUUGGUGAAUUGGCUACUGGUGUGUUGUGUUGUAGAUUGGCUGCUGUUGGUGUGUUGUGGAUUGGAUCUUGGUGAAUUAAAUAAGAUAAAAUAAUAUCCAUUUCAAUUUUUUUUUCCUCUUCUCCCUGCCAAAGUCUGAGACACAAAUAUAGGCUUACAAAACAAAGCCUAGAAAAUUUCAUUUAGACUAAUCCCAAUACUUAUAAAAAUUAGAUUUAGGAUGAGCUCUUAAGAAUUAGACUCCGAAGUGCCUAAGUCCGCAGUGUUAUUUAAAUCAAUAUUUAACAGGGCUUUGCUUGAAGAAUUUGCAUGGAACACGGGUUUUCCUAAUUUGGUCAAAUUAGGCAUUAGGUUGAUUCCACGGGAAAUCCAGCUUUCUUAUUAGAUUCCCAGUCCUCUGCUAUAGGUCCAAAUGAUUGAUCAUCGCAUAUGGCAAGCAAGGUUGCAUGCGACACUUUAAUAAUAUUCCCAACCAAAAAUAAUCCAAAGCCUAAAAAAAUUUUCCCCACCAACAACAAAAUUGAUACUUUUUCUAACCUUUAAAAAAAAAAAAAAGAAAGAAAGAAAAAAAAAAAAACUCAGUUUCCUAGAAAAAAAAAAUCUCAGUUUCCUUUAUUCCUUUCAAACCAUUGCCCUAUCUUAAAAACUUUUAUGUAAUAGCAUUAAGCAGUGCAUAAAGAUUUAAGCCUUACAUCUCUGAGCAUUGAUUACUAUAAAAAAAAAUAAAAAAAAAAGGUUUCAACUUUGAAAAGUUAAAGAGUUGCUUGCACAAAGAAAUGUUUUGUGGACCUUGAACUUCACACGUCUUCUUUCCGAUGUGUGUGUGUGUGUGUGUGUGUGUAUUAUUUUAUUUAGAAAUUAAGUAGCAUAGAAUAAUGCAAAUGCACAGGAAAUUAACUUCUUUAAAAACAAGUUAGAAAAUAUGUAUGCAAAGCAACCAGCUUGGUGCCCAUAUGCCUAUUCAACCUUUUAAAUUAAGCUUAGCUAAACAUACGAGGGUUUUUAUUUUUUAUUAAUUUUUGUAUUUAUUUUGUAUUUAUUUUUUUUCUGUUAUAUAUGUUUUAUUUUAGUUUUGCCCUAUAGUUGAAAAGAACUAAAUAAUAUUGAUUUUUAUAUGAUUUACUUUAAUUCUUUCUUUUAGUUUAGAAGAAAUAUAUAAUAUUGAUUAACCUUUAAUUUUUUAAUGGAUAGAUAUGGAUCAAAAAAAAAAUAUUUGCGUUUCUAAUCAUAAGAGUGUGGCAUUUACACAUGAUGAGUUUAAUGUUGAUGAUGAUGUUAUGGAUAUUAAAGAGAAGACAAAAUCGUUAUAACAAUCAUAUGCUUAGAGAUCGAAGCUUUGUUAUGCAUAAGCCGAGAUUGAGUUAUUUAGAUAGUAUAAUAGGCAAUAGUGAUUUGGAAUGUAUAAAUCAACUUCCAGUGGAUAGAAGAACUUUUAGAAUAUUAUGUGAGCUACUUCAUAGUGAUGGAAGGAUAAAGAGAGAUGGUAAAGUAUCCUUAAAGGAGUAAGUGUGUAUGUUCUUACAUAUACUUGCUCACCAUGUGAAGAAUCGUAUAAUUGGCAAUAGAUUUAAGAAAUUGGAAGAAACAAUUUGUAGGUAUUUUAAUUCCAUUUUACAUGGUGUAUUACGGUUGCAAAGUAAAUUCUUUCAUGUUCCAGAACCAGUUCCUAAAAAUUGUAUCGAUGAUAGAUGGAUAUAGUUUAAGGUAAGCUAAUAAAAGUUGUUUGUAACUUCGAUCUCUAAGCAUUUUUAACAUAUUUGCACUAUGUUGUUUAUAUACUAAUUAUUUAUAAUUUACAUAGAAUUGUUUGGGUGUAUUGGAUAGAACUUAUAUUAAGGUUCCUGUAACACCUCGUCUCGAAAUACACCGAAAAUUUUUCAAAUUUUAUCGAGGUUGACCGUCAUUGACCGAGAAAGGGUCAAAUGUUGACUUUUUGCUCUCGGUAGAAUUUCACAUUGACCAAAGUACUGCUGCAAAGUACGCAUUGUCACGAGUUCAUAGACUAGUAGCAUGUCGAAAUUGGAGCUACCGUUUGAAAGUUAUGAGCAAAACAAGUUGAGGUGCAAACUGUCCAAAGGAUGUCGGAGUUGACUUUUUGUUCGUGACAAAGUUGAACUUUGACUCACGCAUGGUUAUGAAUUACUCAUCGAUAUGAGUUCAUAGACUAGUGGCACGUCCGAUUUGGACAUGUGGUUUGAAAGUCACGAACCUGUGAAGUUUUUCCGAGACAGCAUUUACUAUUCAUGGAUCUGUAUGUGUGUGAACAGUGAUGCCACAUGUCACAAAAGUGGACCCACCCGUAAGUGCACAGUGGCACCCACGGGCGUUUUGACUGGCUAAAAAGGGAAGGGAGGAGAGAGAAAAAGGAUAGAGAAAUAGAGAGAAAAAGGGGAAGGAUCGGCCAACUGCCGUUCACCCAUUUCCGACUACCAAAACAGUACACACGCUUCACCACCUUAUCCCAUCCAUCAAAACCAGCCAGCUAGCCAACGCCCGAAUCGGGGUGUUUUCUGGGGAGAGGUCUGUUUCCUUUUUCGACCGAUUUCUCCUAAACCAGAUCUUUGUUUGCCUCACCGUCGAUCCUGUUAAGUCACCCAUUCCCCAAUCUACUUUCCCACCAAAAAUCAAGACCAGUGGCCACCGGACACGCCUCCGGCAGUGACGGGUUCCGAUGACCACGGCGGCUCGUCGGGAAAUCAAUUUUUCGGCGAGCUUCCAGUUGCACUGCCCACCUUUUCCCACUAAUUCUAACCCUUGAACCCAGAUCUGAGGUCGGUUUCCUCCAAUUCACAGUGGUUUGUGAGAGCUGAGAACCUAAAGACCGAAACCUUCCCAACGAGAUUCCAGCCACCUCGGGUCCGAUCUCCGGAAGGAGCACGUGUGAGCCGUAGAAUUGAUCCUAUGAAGGAUCUUGGUUGGAUUGCGUGCUUGAGCGCGCAGGUGGAUGUGGUGAGUGCGCAGGUAGGUGUGAGUAGCACACAAGUGAUUAUAGGGUUGUCAUGUGGUUGCCAUUGGAUGAGGGUCGGUUGCCUUUCCAUAGCCGAGAUGCCUGUUUGCAGCGGCACGGUGGGACGCCACGUGACGUAUGCCGGUUUCUCUCUUUAACCUCCUGUCUGGUGGUAUUUAGGACACUGGUAUAUAGUGGGUGCAUCAAAUUAUUUUGAUGACAUGAUUUUAAAUUAAAUGUAUUUAAUAAUGUUUUUAUUAUUUAUUUAAAUUUAAAGCUUUACACAAAUUUUAUGAAAUUGUUAUCGUGAUUUUAUUACCUAUUCUCGUUAAUGUUUUAAAAGUUAUUGCCUUGAUUUUAUCAUUUAAAUCGAUUUGGUAUUUUAAGAUAAAUUCUAUUAUAUUUUUAUCAUUUGUUUUAUAUAGAUGUUUAAAUUGAUUUAAAAUGUUUCUUUGAUUAUUUCAUUAAUUUAAUUAAUAAAUUUUAUAAUUUACAUAUUGGGUUUAUUUUUGUUUUUAUGCCAAAUUUCUUUAAUACAAAUUUAUUUAUGAUUUUAUUUAUUUUAUCUAGUGAUGCCUUAUUCUAUAUUUCCAUUAUAAUUUUGGAUCCUUAAAUUCGUGUAUGUUAUUUGAAAUUUAUUUGACUAAUUAUUUCUUGAUUUUUGGGGCAUAAAAUGUUGAGUUUUGCGAAAAUGUUUUAAAAAGGAAACUUUUCCAACUAAGUGAAUCGUAAGGGUUUUGAGGGAAAAUAUUACUUUUAACUACCUAUUAUUUAUUUACUUAUUUCUUAUUAAUCAAUUAACUAAGUUAUUUACCCUUUUAUUAUUAUUAUUAUUGUAUAGUAGAUUAGGUUACUCACUGAGAUGAUUAGCAUCCCAUAUUUUUAAAUUCCGUUCCCUUAGGCCCAGGUUAGUCGACGUUGAUCGUCCGGGGGAGAGCUCGACAUCUUGGUUUGUUGUCGAAGACCAAAAGGAUUUUCCUUUCAUUUCUAUCUUGUAUUAAAUUUCAUAUUCAAUUGUACUAAUAACGCUCUAUAUACUGUUUGGACAUUUAUUUAUUUAAUUGUACACUGGUUCCCUGUUAAUUUUUGAAGUGCUGAAAUUUGUGGUAAUAUCUUAUAGUAAAGUGGGAGGAAUAAGGUGGUGCAUUUAGAAGUGUAUUUUCAGUGUAGAGAAAUUGUGGUAAGUCCAACCCUUAGGGGAGGCUCUGCCGGAUUUCUCAUUGGAAUGUCCAGUAUGGUUUUCCUGAUAUUAGGGCUUGUCUAGGGUUCUGGUGAGGAAUUUUAGAUGGGUUCUGACAGUUCGUGUGUCCGAACAUGAUAAACCAAGUUAUCAAACCAGAAAAGAAGAAAUUGCAACCAAUAUUUUAGGCAUUUGUUCCCAUGACAUGAAGUUUAUCUUUAUUUUACCAAGGUGGGAAAGUUUUGCUUCUGAUUCUAGAGUACUUCAGAAUGCAGUAACUAGGCCGAAAGAGUUAAGAAUCCCCACAGGAAAUUAUUAUCUUGUCGAUAGUGGGUACACAAAUGGAGAGGGGUUUCUUGCACCUUAUAGAGGAACCUGAUAUCAUUUAUCGGAAUGGAAAGAGGAUGGUCAACCUACUAAUCCUUCACAGUAUUUUAAUAUGAAACAUGCUUCAGUAAGGAAUGUUAUAGAAAGAUGUUUUGGAUUGCUAGAUGCGAUGGGGCAUUUUAAGGAGUCCAGCGUUUUACCCCAUCAAAACUCAAUGCCGAAUAAUUACUGCAUGUUGCUUGUUACAUAACCUUAUUAAAGGUGAAAUGUCUGCCGAUCCAUUGGAAAGUAAAGCAAAUAUAAAUGGUACAAAUUUAGAAAACGAAGAAAGUGAAGGAGUAGGCACAAGUGGUACAGUUGAAUUUUCAAAUAAAUGGUCAACUUGGAGGGAUAACUUAGCAAGUCGAAUGUAUGACGAAUGGAGAGGGAAUAGGCACCAUUAAAUUGUAUUUCACUAUAUGACAUCUAGUGAUGAAAUGAUUUUUUUGAUAUGUUAACAAUAUGUAUAUUUUUACUAUUAUUGUUUAUUAGUCUAA